rnacentral:lncRNA from 1 species
GUAGGGGCACCACAUAUACUCUUCCCUUUUUUUAAAUUACCUCGCGAUUUAGUCCCAUGAGCUUCAAGGCUGGGAGCUGAUAAACAAAAUUGUCAACAUGUUUAAAACCGUACAAUGAAGCCCGAAUAGGUACAACGCAAAUCACGGAAGAGCACAAAGUAUUCAUGUAUUUCAGCUUAUAGACACAUUUAAGAUAAAGAACAUAUAGCAUCAUUGCUGUGAAGAGAUUAGUAAUGAAUGUUUUUAUAAGAUUAAAAUUGAAGAAAACCUUUAUUUUUGACGGCCGCCGGCUCAGCAUCGUGUCUUUCACAAGGUAUAGCAGAUGUCGAACCUAAUGUACAAAUAAUUAAUAAAUAUAUUAAAGCACAACAAACUCAAAGUGAAACAAUAUAUUUUCUGUUACCUACCGAGUUGAAACAUAGAGAAAUAGUCAAUAACAUUCUUUUCUUUGUUUGCGUCAGCGGCUGUCCAAUCAAAUGAAGAUAUAUUAGUGACGAAACAUAUUAGUUUCAUAGUAUCGUUACCAACAUAAGAUGGCUCACGUAUCACCCAGUGGCGGCCCGACGGAUUUUGUGACUUAAAGUUAAAUUUUAUGAGGGGCCUUAAUUUUUUUAAAAACAAUUAUUAUUUAUUUGAAGUCUAUUUUUUUUUUAGCUUUUCUUAGAUACAAAUUUAUUAAUAAUUUUCUUAUAAUCAAUAACUCCUAAUAAAUAUUUCUCAAUUGAUAAUAUAGUUAAUCCAUUUAACCUUUUUGUGACAUUGUUGAUCUUAGGUAAGUUUUGAAAACUUCAUUCCACUGAAGCAACGAUAACACGAGUUAUUAACAUUAUUCCACAAGCAAUUUAGGCAUUUGAAAAAGAAUUAAAUUUUUUUAUUUUAUUAAGCGUAUCAAUUAAACUGCUAUCUUCUAAUUGUACUAUUUUUCUUAAUACUUUUGUCAAAAAAUAAAUCUAAACCAUUAAAUACGAAUUGAUUAUUAUGCUUUAAAGAACAUUCAAGAUUAAGACAAUAUUUUUCAAAUUUCAACAUCUAGUGAUCUUAGUUUUUACCGCCAAAUAGAAAACCAAAAAUAUUUUCUUAUGCUGCUAAUUGUUCAAAUCUAUUUUGAAGUGAAAAAAUAGCCUUGUCUAUUAUGUAUAAAAGUAAUCAACUCUAAAGUACUCUUCGAAAGAUUUUGAGAUUUUAUUAUCAACAUUCGCAUCAAUUUGUUACUUCCUAUAUAUCACACGUUUCUUAUGAAAUUCGGGCUCGAUAUUCAUUUCAAGUGCAAUUUCCUUGGUAGAAUUCAUAGCAGUGGCAAAUCCUUCUUAUCUAUUUUUGUUAAAGAAAAAAAUCAAAAAAUUUCACUUUAUACAACUUUUUAAAAAAGUUAUACAUAGUUUAUUAGGUGUAACAAAAAAUGGGGCCCCAAAAAUAGGGGGCAAAAAACGGUUGCUUUACUUACUUUAUGGAAUGGCCGCCCCUGGUAUCACCAGAGUUCUUUGCUUAGUCAAGUUAGCCCCAGCUUUGA